rnacentral:rRNA from 1 species
UUGAAAAUACACAUGACGAUACACUACGUAAUUUUUUGGUUGGGGCGACCUAGGAACAUAUAAAACUUCCUAAUAUGUAUAGAUUAAUAAAUGAUGAUCCAGUACAACUGAUUUACAAAAUAAGUUACCCC